AGUCGUAACAAGGUAUCCGUAGGUGAACCUGCGGAUGGAUCAUUACCAAAGUGACCCAUCCCACCUCUUGUGAACUGGUCCUACACGGUCGGCGUCUGCUUGGAGUGUUUUACUCGCACUUUGAGCGCUGAGAGCGGCAGGAUCCUGGUACUGAUUGCUGGCAACGGUGAUUGGCCAUUGGAACCCGCUCAUUUCAGGACGUCGGCUGUACACUUAAACAUAUCCCAAGUAGAACUGAAGUAUCUUUACAAAAGAACCUCUGAGACAACUUUUAGCAAUGGAUCUCUAGGCUCUU
rnacentral:misc_RNA from 1 species